UAAAACUCCACCCUACCAGGCUCCCUCCCAUUAUCAUCCAUAUACAACAAAAAGUAUAUUUCAAGAGUAUACAUGCUAUAUGAUAGAAUAAUUUAAGAUAAAUUUAAAUUAUUUCAAGAAAGCUUACGAAUUCAGCUCUACGCCUCGCAUAACUCAUGAAGCCUGAAGUGUGAGGAACAGUCUGUGAUGCUCGAGCAGCUCUACCAAUAUUGGAAUAUGUCUUCUCCGCAAAACAAUAAACAAUGUAAUGCAUAAAAUGUAUAAAUUUCUAAUCUAUAAUAAUAGUAAAUACAAUCUAAGGUAUUGAAAAAAUAUACACAACCUGAGCUCUCUCGGAAAACCAGUAGUGGAC
rnacentral:lncRNA from 1 species